AAACUCCGGUUUCUCUUCAGAUCGUAUAAGUCUUUCACCUUUUACUAAACAUUUCCGUGGAGAGAAAUAAGUACGACUCUUACGAAAAUUUUUGUGGCUCCAUUACGGUGGAGC
ensembl:snRNA U5 U5 spliceosomal RNA